rnacentral:lncRNA from 1 species
CCCUAAAAAUUCAGCAAUAAUGCUUUUAAUAACAUCCUUCUCUAAUAAAUUGCUACUGCAUCCUUAACUAUUUAAAAAUACUGAGUUUGCCCAGAAAAAAGUUCCCAUGCAUCACAUUCAGUCCAAAAGCUGCCUUCUCUUUUAUGUGAAGUUUUCCUUUGCUGUCCACAGGUCUCCAAAGUGCUGAAAUCUUCCUCAUUAGUACCUGAAAAGCAUGCUAAUCACAUAGGUCAGCUCACUUAAUUGAAAAUAGACUAAAAGUGCAAGAAUUAUGUAUUUUAUCCUCAAAACUUAGCUAAAACAUGGGUAAGUUAUGGUGCUUAGACGUAUAAAUACGCCCAACAUCAUGGGGUCGAGAAUAAAAUCAUCAAAGUUUAGAGGUAAAAAAUGAGACUAAGUCUCCAACACUUAGCUUAAAUUUUAGGUCUUAGGCCUCUCAUGUAUACAUUAUGAGCUUAAUUUAUCUAGAAAGAGUACGGGGCAUUACAGUUACACACUCUUAACACUUACAACUUAUAUUUUUAUUCCAAAAUUUGGAUUUGAUCUUGGGAUUGAUCUUGUAUUGACUUUGGCUAAUAAUUUAGUUUUAGAUUUUGAGUUUUAUUCAAUUAUUCUUGUGAUAUUAUUUAAUGGCUUUCAUUAUAAAUUCUGUUGAUUAUUUCACAAGCAUGAGCAGCUAAAACCCUUAGCUACGGUUGUGGGAACCGUGGUAUAUUGAUGAAGUAGGGGAAGUGUGAAGUUGUUUUGAACCAGUACUUGUGUAUGCAUUGUAUUAUCUUUAGUUUAAUAGUUGUUCUAGCAUUUACAAACAUUAGGAUCCCGCCCAGAUUAUUGAUACUUACUCCAAAAGAGAAGUAGUGACUAGGAAAAGAAUGAUACAACAGUAAUUUGAAGAUUAAUUACUGAUCUAUGUUAACAAGUAUCAUCUAUGUGAGGCCUUUAUCUAUCAUCUAAUAACUAGAGACUCAAAAGGUAAUAGUUAACUGAGAUCUAGGAUAAGGGUUAGUAAUGCAACAUCCCGAGACUCAAAAGGUAAAGGAUGAAAUCUGUUAAUGAGUCUACAAGAUAGUUGAUAAUACAUAACUUAUCAGAGUCUACAUGCAAAGUACUAGGUUGGUUCAACAAGGCACGAUAAACCUAUGGAUUCGAGAAGCCAUGGGGAACAUUACUCUAGUCUUUGUUUUGGACUAUUUACAACCAAAGUUAAAUAUGGUUACUUGUUCAAUAUUGUUACUACAAACCCCCAUUCACUUUUCCAAUUCUAGCCGUUGGUUAUAGCAAGUGACAACCCCAAUUCCAUGUAUUCCCUUGGGUUUGACCCCAACCUGAGUUGGGUCACUAUAACAACAACUACAACAGCCUUAUUUGAAGGUGUAUUUUAGGAGUGUUCAUACUUGAGGUAUGAGGAAUACCCAAAUCAAAAGUAGGUGAAAUAGAAGGAUCCAUACUCUGAACUGGAGUAACACCCAGUAUAACCAAAAGAGAACCCUCUAAAUGGGUCAGCAAAUGCACCAACAACACUUCUAAAACUGGGGCAGACAAACUCUGAGGAACUAGAGUAGAAACCACACCUCUAACCUGCUCAUCAUGAGGCUCAAGGGAAAGUCCCCUAGCACUCCUCCUAGAUGGGGUUGAUCCAUGAGCCCAUCCAUGAAUCGAGCCAUGUCUUCUCGACUAAACUCUCUCUCCAGAAAUAGGCUCCGUAUCUCUUACCUCAUGGUACCUAGUCAACACUAUCUAUGUAGGAAAAGCGAAACACAACUUAAACCACAAGGUAUGAAAGAACUUUGCAUGAUAAGGAAUAAAAUGAGGGAAGUUUCCUAAAGACAUCCUAUAGUCUCUCAAAGAUAGAUAUGGAUGUCUAUGUACCGAUCCUCGAGACUUUAUUAGACAUCCCAUUCUUACACUAUUGAGACCAAUGAAAACUUGGCUGCUCUGAUACCAAUUGUCACAGCCUAAAAUUAAAGAUCAUGAUGGCACUUAUCGCGGUGUACCUUAAAAGUAAAACUAUCACCUAAACUGAUACACAAUAAGGGGAAAAGACCAAAAUACCCCCAAUAUAAGGCUUCUAGAAUAAAGCCGAACUAUACAAAUAAUUAUAAUAAUUGUGGAAAGAACAUAUCCAAAAUAUCAUGUAUUCCUAAAACUAGGUGUCAGUAGUGUAAGAACUACUAAUACAAUCCAUGAGUCAAAUACAUCAGAAAAUAACCAGAAAGGAAUGAUAUCUGUCUUUAAAUACUAAUAAAGAUAUAACUAAUACAAAAAAAAUAAAGGUAUCCUUCAGACACAUGAAUGUCCAACCUCUACCUUGAGUAGUCUAAAGGCACACAAAAUCAAGCCACAUGAGGUGCACCCGAACCUAGAUCUGCACCAGAAGGGUAUAGUAGAAGUGAGUAUGGUCCACUUGUACUCAGUAGGUAUCAUAGGCUAGAGGAGAAAAGUAGAAAAUAAAGAAAGCAAAAUACACACUAAGGGCACGUCACUUGCAAUUAAAAAAUAUUCCACAAUGCUAGCCCACCCCGCUUAAACUAAAAAUUCUACUUUAUACAUAUCACAUAUAUUGUAAAAACACAACUAGGAUGAACACAAAUAUACGCCAUAUCACAUAUACUAAAAAAACAAGAAAGACCAUGUAUAUACAAGAUAGUCAAAUGUAAUUAGCGAAAGAUAGAACACAUAAAGGUAUGAAAAGUCAAUAUGGUAAUUCAAUCACAAAAUGAACAAAAUAAAGCAAGUGCAACAUAUAAUGAGAUGAUAAUGAUGAUGAUGAUGCAUGCAGUCAUCGUAUAACCUCUUUAUACACCCAUGGAGGCAAGCCUCCCAAAAUGGGACCCAUGGGUGGUUCGUUACUUCAUAUAAAAUUGAUAUAUCCAUAUCUCUUCCUUGGAACAUCCCUUGGGGAGGGUUUAAUAAGGUGUCAAAAUAUUUUAUUCCCGGUACAUCCCUUGAGAAGGUUUUGUAAAAGGUAUUACAUGUGUUUCUCAGGUGUUGCCAUUGUGGUACCAAUAUUUCUUGAAUGAGUAUGAUAUGAGGAUAUAAUUCAUACAACCAGUCAUAAUGAGUAUUUACACAACCAACCACAAUGAUAUCUUUUCAUGACCAAUCAAAAUGUUAUAUUUCUAUAACUACAUGAGCCAAUAUUCACUUAUUAUUUUUGGUCAUCUAUGAAUUUCCACAUGUUUCAUAUGCCAACAAGUAUGAAUAUGUUACAAUACGCCAACGGUACCAUAAAAAGGUAUUUUCAAAAACACAAUACAAUUACUCAUAUAUAUUUUAGGCUAACAACAUCACAUAGGACCCCACACGGUCAUACAUAUCGCAUAAUAUCUCAAUUUCAAUAAUUACAUCACAUAUAAACCCUCACACAGGAAAAACACAUAGAUAUCUAUUUAUCAUGAUUAGUUCCUACCCUAAACAUGUAUUUGCACAAAUAUUUACUACCCAGCCCAGCCUGAAAGAGUUAAGUCAUAACCUACCUGGAAGGCCAAAACCGAUAUGCAACACUUCAACCACAAAGCCCUUCUUCUCACAAACGGUCUCGAAAUCAACUAAAACUAAGAAAUAUGAAUCUAUGCAUCAAAAAAAGGCCAAUGAUACCCAUAUUGACCACUUUUGGUUUGAGGUUAAAACAGACCCCAGAAAUGGGUUUUCGAAAAAGAAGCACAAAAUUAUAACAUUACUUCAAAAAUUAGUUUCCCAUACUGUAAUGCCCCGCAAAAUCCUCUUUCAGUCUGAGCCUUAAUGCAUAUUUGAUAAAGCAAAAAUUUGAGUCAAAAUAUUUUAGAAAUAUCCUCCAAAGUAUGAAAUACUUUGAUUCAUGUGGGAAUCUAUUUAAGCAUGAAUUAAGAUCAUAGAGGUCCCCUAACUCAUGGGCGAGUUGAAAGCUUUCCUAUCAUUCAAGUAUUAGUGAUCUUCAAAAUUUGGGUCAACUUUAAUAGACCAUAAAUCCUUGUAUAUAUAUAAUUAGAGGACCUACCAUAUAUUAGAUGAAAUAUCUUUGAAUUAUCUUUCCAACGAUACCAAUUUCAUCAAAAACCGAUAUCGAAGCAAAGAGUUAUGCCUAUUUUACUCCAGUAUAUCAGUCUGGAAAAUGUGUGACGACAUUUUAUGAUGGCCCAUCACAGAUCUGAUGGCUUGUCACAAAAGGUCGUCAAAAUUAGAUAGAAAGUCAUAAAAUCCACCCUUUUGUGAUGAUAUUUUGUGACGGCCUGUCACAGGUUUGACGACCUGUUACAAAUAUCGUCAACCAUUUUUUCAGUAAUUUAGACACAUUUUUGCAAGGGUAUUUUGGUCAUUUCCCACCUUGUGAGCCUCUAUAAUAUGAGAACCCACUUCUAAAAUGCUAAUUUUAUCAUUUUUCUCUUCCAAUUCUCUCAAGAAUAUCUAAUUAGGGUUUUAUCAAGAACCCUAAUCUUCUAAAAUUCAUCUAUAAAUCUUCAAGCUUUCUUCAAGAAUCAAGUUUCUCAUAGUGUGGGCUUCGAGAAUCAUUUAUUACAAGUGCAGAUAGAGUCUCAAGCAUUAUAAUUCAUCCUAUUUCAAAGGUUAAGGUAUAUAAAUAUUGAUUAUUGGGUCCUUUUCAUCCAAGAAGCUCAAGAACCCUUUUUAAAACUAAAAGAUUUUUUUAUUUAUGAGUUGUUAAUGAUUUGUAUGAGUUGAAAUUGAUGUUUAAUGUGUUUUUGAGUUUUGAUUUAUGUUUGCCUACAAAAAUUAUGAGCUUUGACUGUAGUAUGUGGAAAUAAUGUGAUGUUUGUGAUAGACCCUCUUGAAGUUGUUUUCUAUGUGAUGUGUUCAUGACUUUUGAGUGUAGAAAUGGUUGAAUAAGCGAAACAUGUCCCCCAUAAGUUUGAUAAAGAGCUUAGGUGAAGCAUAAGGGCCAUUAUAGUAUGCUGAAUAGGAAGCCCCAAAUUUUGAGCUAGUCCAUGCAUGCCUAAUGUUUUAUAAAAUGCCUUAGUGAGUGAUAUGUUCCAAGAUAGCAAGAAAUCCCCAUGUAGGUGUAAAAUCAGUCAUGUCUAGUGGUUGUUGAAAGGCCCCAGUGAACAAGUCGAGAUAUGAUGGUUGUAAAUUCCCCAAUUAUGUGCACUUUGAUAUAUGCUAAGUUUUUAAUACAUGUCGAGUGGUUAGCAAGUAAGUUGUGACAUGAUAGAAUGAAGUUUCCCUAAGCCAUGUGAUAUCCAAACAGGUGUUAAGAUUGAUAUAGGUAUGAAAUAGUUGAGGUAAAACUUUGUUGAAUAGAGUAUGAUCUAGUAGAAUGUUUUCCCUAUGUUGUUUUAUGAUAUGAUUCCUAAUUGCUUGAAGAUGCUUUAAUGAUCUUGAAGAUGCAUGAAUGAUUGUGAUGAUAUAUGAAUGAAUGUGAUGAUGAAUGAAUGAUUACGCUUUACUUUUAUGUCAUCAAGUCCUAGGGGUAUUUAUACCCGAUAAUAGAGUUAUUGUCUAGAGCCCGUGUCAGUUUCUUGAUAAUUCAAGUCGAGCCAUGAUUCUCAGAAUUCAGUGAACUAUAGAACUCUGUAUCCUCAGACAAGUGCAGAACUUAAGAAAGCUCAAUAAUCUUUGUUAUAUCUGUAAUCUCUGUAUCACUAGUAAUCUAGCCUCAGUCCUAUAAUUAGCUUAGUUCUAAUAUUAUUCAAGUGAUUCAAUUCUAAUCUCAGAAGUGAUUCAGUAAUCUAUUCAAGCUUUGUAUCAUCAGUUAGAUACCAUGAUUUGAUACCUUUCCUGUCAGAUACGGAGCUAAGUAAUCUCAGCAUAACUCAGUCAGAUCUUUUGAGAAACAUGAUCAGUAUUAGAUUUAGCUCAAUCUAAGUUUAGUUAAGAAUUAGAUCAGUGUCUUUUAGUUGGGAGUAGAACUCAGCACCGAGUAAGCUCAAGGAUGGGAACUCACCUGCUAGUAGAGGGUGUGAUUCUUAGAAGUAAUCCUUGCACUCUAUAACUAUGUAGCCAGCGUAGGUUAAGACAUCAUACCUGCUAGUUGAGGGUAGAUAAGGUGGCUUGACCUGUUAGAUGAGGGCUCUACCAUUCUUGUUUGAGUACCUAAUAGAUGAGGGUCACAUAAAGAUUAUGUCUGUACCCGUGGCAUGAUAUUGGCACCCUCCCAGCCAGGGGUAGAGGAUGGACCCCUAAGAGAUAGUAGGGGUAUGUCGGUUAGAUGACUACUUUCCACAGUUUUAGUUUCAAAUUUAGUCUCAAUUUCAGAAUCAAUCUUCAGAAAUCAGGAUUGUCAGAUACAGUCAUCUAUCUUUAUGAGAAACUCAGAUAGUUCCAUUGAUUCAUAGACUAUCCUGCCAGAUAGGCUUGGUCUCAUAUACGGUUUUUUGAUAUCAUAUUCAGAGAUUUACCUCCAGACAGGCUUGGUCACAGUAUCAGAUUUUUAUUAAAUAUUAUUGUUGUCAGAUUCAAAUAUAAUCAUAUUUCUUAUCAUUGAUAAAGCUUCCAAAGUCAUCUAUUAUAAAAGUUGAUCUCUAAUUCUGUCAGUCGAAAGUAGUAAGCUCAGAAUUCAGUCCUUGAUGUAAGUAUAUCCAGAUCCUCAGCUAUCAGUAUUAGAUGAGUCAGUGAUUUAAUAUCGCAGUGUCAGCAAUAAGUUCAGUCUGUAGUAAAGUGGUAUCCGAGUUUCAGUAUCUAGAGUUGCGAUGAUUGUGUUCAUGGUCUGUCCAUUCAUGUAUGUGUUCUCAUGCGACAUCUUUCAUGAUUAUUUCAGUUUAGAUAUUGUACAUGCAUGAGCCCUUACAUUAGCCUACCCUGUCUACAUACUCAGUAUAUUUCUGUACUGACGCAUUUGUGCUAUGGUGUCUUAUUUGACACCAUAGGUUCAGAGGCACAGGAUCCAUAGUAUUCUCAGCAGUUCAGUCCCAGUCAGCAGCAGUGGCCAUGAGUCAUUUUAUUUCGAGGAUGAAUCUUAGUUUACUAUUAUUUUUUCAGAAUUUGUUUAUUUUCAGUUGAUGGAGUUAGUUGGAGACCUCUUCUAUCAACUCCACAGUUCAGACAGUUUAGAGGCUUUUCAGACAAAUGUAUUAGUAUUCAGUUUUCUGUAUUAUGAGUAUUCAUAGAUGUGUUGAACCUUAUGGCUAGUUUCCGCAUUUAUUUUUGAUAUUAUGAAGUGUACAAGUACAUAUAUCAGUAAAGGGUUAGCUUGUGGUCCUUCGGGGUCAUAAGCACCGUGUGACAUCUCGGGAUGGGAUCUCAGGGCAUUACGAACUUGGUAUCAGAGCCUACGGUUCAAGAGUGUCCUAGGGAGUCUGAAAAGCCGCAUCUAGUAGAGUCUUAUGCAUAGGUAUGUAGUGUACCACAUUUAUGUACUAGAGGCUACAGGAUGUUCUUAGGAGCAGUUACCCUUCUUUCAGUGAUCAUUUCGUGCGAGUGAGCAUGAGCUCAAGUUUAUCCUCAGUCUAAUCCACUUAUUUCUUACAAUUACAGAGUAUGCCUUCUUGCAGAGAUUUUGUCCGUGGGUUCAAUGAUCAGCCCCCACGGCCAGUAGAUCCUGAGAAUAAAAAUGUAUCACAUGCCGAGUUUCAAGCAAUUUUCCAGGCGCUAGCCCAAGCUGUGACAACUACAGUGCAGACCAAUAAUUAGGCUACUGCUCUUCGAUAGCAGGGUAAUGAUGCAGCCGCAGCUAGACUCCAUGACUUUAUUAGGAUGAGUCCUCCCGAGUUCUUUGGGUCUAAAGUAGGUGAGGACCUACAGUUAUUUCUAGAGAAGGUGAAGAAGAUCACCCAAGUUAUGUAUGUGUCUGAAGAAGAGAGCAUAGAACUAGCCUCUUAUAGGUUGAAAGAUAUUACUUAUGAUUGGGUUAUAGCGUGGAGGAAGGGUAGAGGGGAGAAUGAUGCUCCUAUGACCUGGCAAGUAUUUCAGGAUUCCUUUUUAGAUAAGUUUUUCCCCCUAGAGAUGAGAGAAUCUAAGGUAGAAGAAUUUAUGAACCUAAGGCAAGUCUACAUGAUAGUGAAAGAGUAUUCUCUUAAGUUUAACCAAUUAGCUAAGUAUGCCCCCAACUUGAUAGCUGACCCUAGAGUGAGUAUGAGUAAUUUUUGACUGGGGUAUCAAGUCAUUUGUUGAAAGAGGGUAGAGCUGCCAUGCUCAAUAGAUAUAUGGAUCUUUCUAGGAUAAUGAUUCAUACAUAACAAAUUAAGGCAGAUAAAAUAAAAGAAAGAGAGAGAGUGAAUAAGAGAGCUAGAACAAGUAGUCAUAGUUUCUCCCAAGCAGGGUCACAGAGUGGUAACCGUUCUCAUCAUAGUUAGAAGUUUUCAGUCCCAGCUCCAUCCUCAGCUAGUGCACCACACUCCAAGAUCCAAAUUAGUGAGGGUAGGGGUCUUACCUACCCAUUGUCUGAAGACUGUGGUAAGAAUCAUAAGGGUGUAUGUAGAGCCAAUAGUGAUGUGUGCUUUGGAUAUGGAGAGAACGGUCAUAAAGUUUGAGACUGUCCUAAGACAGGUCCCCAAAGUCAGUGUAGUCGUCCUUCAGCUCAUAACAGAUUGUAUACACUUCAGGCUUGCCUUGAUCGGGAAAGAUUCCCUAAGAUAGACCCGGGUAUGUUUUGAGCCCUUCAUAUUUGCAAUAUGCAUUUUUAGAUACUUUGCUCCUAUUUUGAGCUUAUGUGUUAGCAUGAGGCAUGCAUAAGUUUUAGAUCCUGAUCGGUCAAUUAUGACCUAGUCUGUAGGUGCCCCGCGCACCACUCUAGUUUUUCAGUGAAGUGUGUUUAGAGGGACCUAGAGUCCCAAGGGGGAGAUACCCCAUAGUAUUAUGAUGUUGUAUGCCAUUAGAUUCAUCCCGAUGCAUGUUCAGAUUUUCUUUAUGAGGUUAGCAUCAGUCAUUGUUGCAUUGUUAAGUCGUACUUUCAAAAGUCAGCUUAGCCGGACAUUCAUGCAUUAGAUAUGCGCAUUUAGCAGAAAGAAUUUAUCUUAUUAGUGUAUGUUAAGUCAUGUAUUCAUGAGAUCAUCCUAGUUAUGAGUCAAUGCAUUAGACAUGCAUGUGUAUUAUGAGAAUUCAGUUAUGAGUAUCAUCAGUUGAGUAUUCCAUGGAUCAGAUAUGCAUGCCCAGUGUGAGAACUCUAUAUGUCAGUCGUUCCAGUUGCGUAGUCCUGAUCUGAGAUGUUUCCAUUUCUUGAGUAAGUUCUAUUAAUCCAUAUUCUUAGUCUAUCAAGCGACAUUCGAGGACAAAUGUUCUCAAGGGGAGGAUAAUGUAAUGCCCCGCAAAAUCCUCUUCUAGUCUGAGCCUUAGAGCGUAUUUGAUAAAGCAAAAAUUCGAUUCAAAAUAUUUCAAAAAUAUCCUCCCAAGUAUGAAAUACUUUGAAUCGUGUGGGAAUCUAUUUGAGCAUAAAUUAAGAUCAUAGAGGUCCCCUAACUCAUGGGCGAGUUGAAAGCUUUUCUAUCAUUCAAGUUUUAGUGACCGUCAAAAUUUAGGUCAACUUCAAUCGACCAUAAAUUAUUGUAUAUAUCAAAUUAGAGGACUUACCAUUAUCAAAUGAAAUAUAUUUGAAUUAUCUUUCCAACGAUACCAAUUUUAUCAAAAACUAAUAUCGGAGCAAAGAGUUAUGCCCAUUUUACUCCAGUAUGACAGUCUGGAAAAUGUGUGACAACAUUUUGUGACAGCCUCUCACAGAUCUGACGGUUUAUCACAAAAGGUCGUCACAAUUAGGUAGAAAGUCAUAAAAUCCACCCUUUUGUGACGAUAAUUUAUGACGGCCUGUCACAGGUUUGACGGCCUGUCACAAAUGUCGUCAUCCAUUUUUUUUAGCAAUUUAGACACGUUUUUCCAAGGGUAUUUUGGUCAUUUUCCACCUUUUGUGAGCCUCUAUAAAUAUGAGAACCCACUUCCAAAACCCUAAUUUCAUUAUUUUUCUCUUCCAAUUCUCUCAAGAAUAUCUAAUUAGGGUUUCAUCAAGAACCCUAAUCUUCUAAAAUUCAUCCAUAAAUCUUCAAGCUUUCUUCAAAAAUCAAGUUACUCAUAGUGUGGGAUUCAAGAAUCAUUUAUUACAAGUGCGGAUAGAGUCUCAAGAAUUAGAAUUCAUCCUAUUUCAAAGGUUAAGGUAUGUAGAUUUUGAUUCUUAGGUCCCUUGCAUCUAAGAAGCUCAAGAACCCUUUUUAAAACUAAAAGAUUUUCAUGAUUAUGAGUUGUUAAUGAUUUGUAUGAGUUGAAAUUGAUGUUUAUUGUGUUGUUGAGUUUUGAUUUAUGUUUUACUAUAAAAAUUUGAGCUUUGACCGUAGUAUGUGGAAUUCAUGUGAUGUUUGUGAUAGACCCUCUUGAAGUUAUUUUUAAUGUGAUGUAUUCAUGACUUUUGAGUGUAGAAAUGGUUGAAUAAGCGAAACAUGUCCCCCAUAGGUUUGAUAAAGAGCUUAGGUGAAGCAUAAGGGCCAUUAUACUAUUUUGAAUAGUAAGCCCCAAAUUUUGAGCUAGUCCAAGCAUGCCUAGUGUUUGAUAAAAUGCCUUAGUGAGUGAUAUGUGCCAAGAUAGCAUGAAAUCCCCAUGUAGGUGUCAAAUCGGUCAUGUCUAGUGGUUAUUGAAAGGUCCUAGUAAACAAGUCGAGAUAUGAUUGUUGUAAAUUUCCUGAUUAUGUACUCUUUGAUAUAUGCUAAGUUUUUAAUACAUGUCAAGUGGUUAGCAAGUAAGUUGUGACAUGAUAGUAUGAAGUUUCCCCAAGCCAUGUGUUAUCCAAACAGGUGUCAAGAUUGAUAAAGGUAUGAAAUAGUUGAGGUAAAAAUUUGUUGAAUGGAGCACGAUUUAGUAGCAUGUUUCCCCUAUGUUGUUUUAUGAUAUGAUUCCUAAUUACUUGAAGAUACUUUAAUGAUCUUGAAGAUGCAUGAAUGAUUGUGAUGAUAUAUGAAUGAACGUGAUGAUGAAUGAAUGAUUAUGCGUUACUUUUAUGUCAUCGAUUCCUAGGGGUAUUUAUACCCAAUAAUAGAGUUGUUAUCUAGAGCCCGUGUCAGUUUCUCGAUAAUUCCAGUUGAGCCAUGAUUCUCAGAAUUCAGUGAACUAUAGAACUCUAUAUCCUCAGACAAGUGCAGAACUUAAGAAAGCUCAAUAAUCUCUGUUAUAUCUGUAAUCUCUGUAUCACUAGUAAUCUAGCCUCAGUCCUGUAAUUAGCUCAGUUCUAAUAUUAUUCAAGUGAUUCAAUUCUAAUCUCAGAACCGAUUCGAGUAAUCUAUUCAAGCUCUGUAUCGUCAGUUAGAUACCAUGAUUCGAUACCUUUCCCGUCAGAUACGAAGUUAAGUAAUCUCAGCGUAACUUAGUUAAAUCUUUUGAGAAACAUGAUCAAUAUCAGAUUUAUCUCAAUCUAAGUUUAGUUAAGAAUUAGAUCAGUGUCUUUCAGUUGGGAGUAGGACUCAGCACCGAGUGAGCUCAAGGAUGGGAAAUCACCUACUAGUAGAGGGUGUGAUUCUAUUAAGAAAUUCUUGAACUCCAGAACUACGUAGCCAGCAUAGGUUGAGACAUCAUACCUACUAGUUAAGGGUAGAUAAGGUGUCUUGACCUGUUACAUGAGGGCUCCACUAUUCUCAUUUGAGUACCUAAUAGAUUAGGGUCACAUAAAGAUAAUGUCUUUACCCGUGGCACGGUAUUGGCAACCUCCCAGCCGGGGGUAGAGGAUGGACCCCUAAGGGAUAGUAGAGGCAUAUCGGUUAGAUAAAUACAUCACACAGUUUCAGAUUUAGUUUCAAUUUCAGAAUCAAUCUUCAGAAAUCAGGACUGUCAGAUACAGUCAUUUAUCUUUAUGAGGAACUCAGAUAGUUCCACUGAUUCAUGGACCAUCCCGUCAGAUAGGCUUGGUCUCAUAUAAAGCUAUUUGAUAUCAUAUUUAUAGAUAUGCCUCUAGACAGUCUUCAUCACAGUAUCAAAUUUCUAUUGAAUAUUUUGUUUGUCAGAUUCAGAUAUAAUCAUAGUUCUUAUCAUUGAUAAAGCUUCCAAAGUCAUCUGUUAGAAAAGUUGAACUCUAAUUCUAUCAGUGAAAAGUAGUAAGCUCAGAAUUUAGUCCUUGAUGUAAGUAUAUCUAGAUCCUUAGUUAUCAGUAUCAGAUGAGUCAGUGAUUCAGUAUCUUAGUGUCAACAGUGAGUUUAGUCUAUAGUAAAGUGGUAUCCGAGUUUCAGUAUCUUGAGUUGCGAUGAUUGUGUUCAUGGUCUGUGCAUUCAUGUAUGUGUUCUCAUGCAGCAUCUUUCAUGAUUGCUUCAUUUAGACAUUGUACAUGCAUGAGCCCUUGCAUUAGCCUACCCCUUCUACAUACUCAGUACAUUCCUUGUUCUGAUGUAUUUAUGCUAUGGUGUCUUAUUUGACACCAUAGGUUCAGAGGCACGGGAUCUAGAGUAUCCUCAGAAGUUCAGUCCCAGUCAGCAGCAAUAGCAGUGAGUUCUUUUCUUUUGAGGACGAAUCUUAGUUUACUAUUGUUGUUUCAGAAUUUGUUUAUUUUCAGUUGACGGAGUUAGUUAGGGACCUAUCACAUCAACUCCACAGUUCAGAUAGUUUAGAGGCUUUUCAGAUGGAUGUAUUAGUAUUCAGUUUUCUGUAAUGAGUAUUCAUAGAUGUGUUAAACCUUAUGGCUAGUUUCUGUAUUUAUUUCCAAUAUUAUGCAGUACAGGUACAAAUAUCAGUAAAGGGUUAGCUUGUGGUCCUUUGGGGUCAUAUGCACUGUAUGGCAUCUUGGGAUGGGAUCUCGGGGCGUUACACAUACCUUUAGAAAUCUACAUAUGAAAGACCAAGUCAAAUCGAGUAAAAAAUAAGUUUCAAAUUGAAGAAAAAUCAUUUUUGAGUUUUUUUUGGUAAAACCUUAGAAAUCCAUUUUAAAAUCAAGAAUUGAAUUUUUUUUGAAGAUGAAAUUGGAAAAAAACUAAUAAUUAUAGGAUAAAGAACAUUAUUCAAGUGAAAAGGUUUAAAAUUUGGGGCUAAAUCAAGUACUAAGGUUUUGAGGUUAUUGAACAAUUAAUCAAGAAAUUUGAUACAAAAAAGGGGGAAUUCUCACCUUAAGUCUAUAAGAGAAUAAAUAAAUAGAUGUUAAUCUAGCUUCCCAAGCACCAACAAGCUUCAUUUUACGCUCUCACACUAUUUUAGAGUUUAGUUCUCAAGAGACGAGAUGAAAAAUGAUCAAAAAUUGGACAACAAAGGGCUAUAUAUACUUAUACCAGGUUACCAGCUGCAUAAGGCAUAAAACACAUUCCUUAAAUGAGUUUUACCAUUUGUGAUCGAGGUUGCACCAACAACCUUGUGCACUAACAAACUUCGAUAGGGUGAUCGGGAUUUGUUCAAAAUCUAAUAUAUGCAAAAAAACUCUGUAACCAUACUAAAUUCAAUGCUUUGAACUUAAUGGGAAUAUCAAAAUUGUAAAAAAACACAUUUACACAAAGUCAACCACGAAACCUAAAAUUACAAUUUUCCAAAUCGAGGGUCAUAAUGAGAUUUAAAAGUCAUAAAACCACACACCCCAUGUUACCACUCUAAAAUUGAUGUUCUGGAUCUACUGGCAUAUUUUGUUUAGUAAUCCAUUGCACGAAUCAAAAAAUACCCAUAAAAGUUUAAAAUAAGGCUUUUAAAGCCUCCAAAAACCACAAUAUCGCACAAAUGGUACCAAAAUGGAUUGAGAACUAUGCCAAUUACUCCCACACCUCAGAAAUACCAUAACUCAACUACAGUGAGGGAAAAAUAUUCAAGUCACACAAAAAUACAAAUUUCACAUAUUUCAUCAAAUUUCAGGUCUUUACAUUGAACUGCAGUCCUUAGUAACUUCCAUCAUCUCAAUGUCACUCAACUUCAGCCUAUUAGUUACCACAUCCUUCAAUUACUUGGCAUACUUAGGUAUACCCUACAAAAUAUCUAACAACAGUAGGUUAAUAUAAAGUUUGCUGAUUAUGUCAAAGAACUUGAAAUAUAUAUCCUCGUUAGACUUUUUAAGCCUUUGAUGGAAUGGUGGUGGUAUUUAUUGUACCUGCUCAUCUUUCUUAGUUUUUGUGUACUUAGGCUUCCCUAAAAUUUUAGCAUCUUUAGCUGAAACUUGCUUCCUCGUUGCCUACUUUGGAACUAAUUUUGCUUGAACCUCCUGAUUUUCUUUAGGGGUACGUUAAUGAGAUCGCUACCACUUCUCAAGGUUAUUGCCAUUACUUACAUCAAAUUUUCUUUGUGACUUGGCAAAACCCUUUGAGGUCUGGCAUUCUGGGGUUGAGCUAACUAUCCCAACUAUGUCUCGAAAUUUUUUUAGGCAAGUUGAUGAUUUUUUAUUUCUAUAGCCAUUCAUUUUUGAUUGUCCAGGAUCUUCUUCAUGGUCUCUUUAAUAUUACUAGCCUGUAUGUUUUGCUACUGCUAAAACUGCUAAGUCUGAACUUGAUUAUUGACCCAUGAAUACGUGGGCUGACUCUACCACUUGUGAAUGAAGGCAUUACCAUAAUUCAAAUUACCCUUCUAUGCAUUUAUAAAAAAAUUUACUGAUUCUAGAUUUGCUUCACAUAAGUCUAAAGAGUGACCACUAAUACCACAAAUCUCACACCAAAAUGGAGUCUGUUAGACUGCGUUCACUUGGGCCUAAGGUUAGUUCACACCUAAUAUGCUAACUGUGUAAUCAUUUGAUUUUGCAAGGCUGACAAUUGAGCGGUUAGAGUUGUGACACCAUUAACCUCAAUCAUACCUACAGGAUUUUUACCGCAUUUAAGGAAAUUUAACUAUUCAACAAGGAUUACCUUGUGCAAUUUGAUUUAGGAGAGUAUAAAGCUCAUCAUAAGUUUUCUCCAAAGCUUGACCACCUACAACUGAAUAUAACAAAAUUUUUGUAUUAUGGUCAAGAAAUUCUAUAAAAGUAUGAGCUAAUACCUCAUUGGACUAUUGGUGAUGUGGGUAGUCCCUGAGUAGAGACUAGAACCUCUCCCAAGCAUGAUAUAAGUUCUUGUUCAGCUUUUUCUUAUAACUGAAAAUUUCACUAUGUAACCCUACAGUCUUGCUGGAUGGGAAGAUUUGAAUGAGAAACUUACUUGCUAGAUCAUCCCAUGUAGUGAUUGAGUUUGAGGGUUCUGCAUUCAAUUUUAUCUCCACUUUCCCAAAAAGUGAAAAAGGGAAGAGUGUAACCCUCAUGUAGUAAGUGGAGACUCUAACAGCGAUAAACGUAUCAUUGAUCUCCAAAAAUUUUUGUAGAGGAACUUGAGGAUCCUCAUGUGAUAGUCCUAUAAAUUGCCUACUAUUGUACAAUAACUACGCCAUAUUUUUUUGAGCUCAAAUCAACCUCUAAGUUUUGGUUUACGAAUGGCAGAGGUAACAUUAGUUGCGAGUGAGAUUGCCACUUCGUGAACAGUCUUGUGGGUUAGUUGAUCUUCCAUUAUCGGUGUAGGAUUAACUUUUUUUGGAUGAAUUUAAGGUAUCUGAUAGAGAAGUAAUAUUUCUUUCCUAAAUUGAUAUAAGCAUUGCUUAAGUUUAGGAUAUGGGUCAAUCAAAUCUCUUUUCCUUACCAGGUUACUCAAUUUUCAAACCUAUACCUACAAAUUUAGAAGCUGAUAUCAAGUUUCUAGAACUUAUAAAACAAAAUAGCAAAACUAUAACUUAGAUAGUUGUAAAUUUUCAAGUCCUCAACAAUGACAUCAAAAACUUGUUGCGUCCUAGUACAUAUGCAAGUGUACGUGGUCACCUAUGUAGUAAAGUGGCCUUUAAAAUCCAGGUAUCAUUCCCACAGGGACUUAUGCUCAGAAACAAUCUAAUUCUAGUGUUACUAUAAGGAUUAAAGAAGUGAAAGAGAACCAAUAAUGUUUGAUAUUUGAAAACUUAAAAGUGACCAUAAACAAUUUGGAAUUAUAAAGUGUUUGAACAACUAUAGGGAGAAUGCCAGCUUUAAAGCACUAUGGAAACUCAAACAUAGCUAUACAAUUUUACUGGUUUAGUUAAUUACCUUGGUAGUUAAUUCAUGGGGUUGAUAAUAUGAAUAUGGACUUUCGAGCCUCUAAUUGCCUAUCUAACUUAGCCCUACAACUACAUCAUUGAGCGGGGAUGUGAGCAAUAAGCUAAAACAUUUAUAUUUCAUCCCAUAUAUGAACCAAAUAGGGAGAAUUAGGUAUAUUACCAUCCUAGUCACAAAUCCUAACUUCAAUCCAUUGAACUUUUAAGAUACCACUCCAUACAUCCCAAGUUCUAAUCUAUUAUUCCUCUUUCUGGGCUCACAAUAGAAAUAUAGAUUUAUCAUAAGGGUCACAUACACAUAGAAUAGUAAUAACAAUGAUAUAUGAACUUUAAAUAAUGAUAAUAAUCAUAAACCAAUUCAAAUAUGAUCUUAAGUAUUUCAUGUUCUUGGCCUCAACCCUAGAUGAUGGUCUGUAGCCACUCAUGGAUUUAUAACGAAUCAAAUUUAAGGAAUUUAUGUAUGAAAACCAAAAUUAAACUAAAGGAAAUAUUAGGAACUCUAAUUUCAACCUUACAAAGUGUAUUUCAAUCCCCAAAAGUCGUCCAACCUGUGUACAAUAAAACCUAACUGUACUAUUUAUAGUAUGAAGACAAGAGCCCAUCUUUGAACUAAGGGCGUGUUAUGCCCAUGUUUGGCGUGUUAAGGGUGUGGCAUUCCCAUAUUGUGGAUAGUCACUAUUUUUUGACAUCUUGGUUUGUGUCUUGGGGCGUGGCAUGCCCAUGGCCUCAAAUUUUCAAGAUUUUGCCAUCCUUAACUCCUCCCAUUUGCCUUUGCAUUCCUCACUUCUUGGGUGUCUUUAAACUUCAAAUUAUGAUUUUUUAUCUUCCUCAACAUUGAUUUCAACUUAAUCCUUAGUCUCCUAUAACAACAAACAAUUAUUACUUAAAACAUAAUAGAAUUCAUAGUGAUCAACUAUAACAACACCUAACUCAAGCUAGUAACACUAGUUUUCUUGUCUAAACUCUAAGCAUCCAAUUUGAUUCUAAACUUGUUUCAAAUAUACCAUAACACAUCUAAACAUGAAAUUUAACACCUAUUUUCUCAACGGCAUCAAUAAAUACUCAUCACACACAUAAGAAGUCCUUAAAACUAGGCUAAAUACGCAUAGAUAAUUUCACUUAGGUGCAUAAAUUCUCCUAAGAUCAAUACAUACCAUGACCCAAAGAUAGAAAGAAGAGUUUACUCCUGGUGAUAAGGUUUUACUAUUGGAACCCACGAUUGCCUAUUUUUUGACAAGUUAAAGUCAAAAUAGAGAGGAUCGUAUAAAGAGGUGAUAGUGUUUCCCUAUGGAGUGAUUGAACUUGAAAAUAGUGAGGGCCAGAAGUUUAAAGUAGAGGCAAAAGGUCAAAACACUAUUUUAGCAAUGUUUAAGGGGUCAAGGUGGUAUAUUAUGUUGAUCUAGAUAGUGCUUGAGUAAUCAGGCACAUCUAAGUCAGGCUAUGACAUUCAAUCAGGUGCUUCAUAGGAGGCAAUCCAUAGGUUAAUUGGUGAAGUUUGAGUAAUCAAACUAAACACAUCAUAAAGUUAAAUCAAGGAUGCUUUUGAGGAAACCCAAGGAUUUUUUUCCAUAUUUCAUUUAAGGGUAACAUAUGCUACAUGUGUAGAGACAAUGUAGAAAACAAACCAAGGAACUGAAACAAAAAUAGAACCCAUGAAUGCAUUAUAGUUCCAAACAACUGUGGGUUUUGUCGUCUACAUAAAGUCUAAUGAAUUGGUUUUGAGGAGGUGGUCCUAUGACUGAGCACCCACAAUUGUACCAAGAAGUAUGAUCAAGAAAUCAAUCGCCUGACUGAACUUUUCCAAAUCAAUAUCCAGGUAAUGGAACCUACGAUUUUAAGAAAUAAUCCUUGUUAUAUAUAUUAAUUGUCCUUAAGUUUUAUAGGUUCCUAGGCAAGUUUUCUAAAUUCUCUUGGUAUGAUGAUAGACAACUAUCAGUGCAUGAUCCUAUGAUUAUAGGUACGAGUCGUAUGUAAGGUCCUAAAAUUUUUAAAACUAGCCAAUGUAACCUAACUCGACUUGGAUUUUAAUCCCCAAUCCUUGUACCCUUGUUCUAAUACAAGCCCUUCUCUAUUCAAACACGAAAAUCACAUCAACAGUGCAUGAUUAAAUAGAAAAAUAAGGUUUAAUUAUCAAAAUGUGUGAGUUGUACUGCCACUAAGAAACUACUUUCUAAAGUUCCCAAACUCCUCCAAAGUCAAAGUAAAAAGUAAGUUAAAUUUCAUGCUUUAAAAAGUUUUCAUGCUUAAAUUCUAUGAGAAGAUGAGGUUUUACAUACCUUAAAAAUGCCAAGAAAUUUCUAAUUUGAGUUUAAAAAGAGAUGAGUAGUCAAACUUUAUUAAAAUAUCAGUGCCUCGAAGUAAUUAUUUGAAUGGGUAUCAAAAGGAGGGAAGUCUAAGUACCUACUUAUGUCAAAAAAGGGUCAAGUUGGUUCAAUUUCUUAUGUUUUAAACAGUUAAAGUUCGUGCAAACUCCACAACAUAACCCACGAUCAUCAAUCCUAUGUAUAAUCAUAGGUUGGAUCAUUCUGGGUGCCAGUUUGUAUGGCUGUAGGAUUUCAUCAGAAGAACACUCUCGAUAAUUAUCAUAGCUAGGUAUGAUCGUGGGUAUUAGUAGUCUGAUGUGAUGACUCUCAGGAUAUCUUAAUAGGGACUUUGAAUGAUCAUACUUUCAUACCAUGAUCAAACUAUGAGUCAUCUACAUAAAAUAUUAAGUACCCAUAUCUAUUUUCUUUUGAGACUAACGAUCUUUCCUAUAGGUAUUAUAACACAUAAGUUGAAUAAGAAAAAGUUAUAGGAAGGUCUCCACAAGUAUAUAGCUAUGAAAAGGGCUCUAAAACAUGCCUUCAUUCUUGAAGACCUAAUCUAAAGAAUCUAGUGGUUUGAAGGUUAAGUACUUUAAAAGCAGUGAUGAUGAACAACACAAGCUUCAAACCACUAGGUUGAGAUCUACUAAAGCCAAGGCUUUACCUUACACAACAUUGAUUCUCGUGGCUACCCCCAUUAAGCCUCCUUAGUCUGAUUAGGGAGGGCAAGAUGGAGACUGUGAAAUGUGAUGACAAGAUGAGUUCCUCUAAGGAAAAAGAGUUUGUUGGUUGUUCUAGUGGUACUAAUCCAUAAUAUUUUAAGGGAGCUACUAUCGAUGCCCCACCUUAAAUAUAGGAUAAAUUUGAGGAAAUAGGGUGUCCUAAAAUCUUGGGAAUACUAUAUUGAUAGGGUGUCCCUGAAUAACGAAGGGAUCUAAAAUUGAAUUAUCUAAAAGGAGUCCCAUAUGCUACCUGGGGCGCUAUAGGAAGUUCCAAAAGUAAAUUGAGUGUUCCAAAAAUACAAAUUUGAUUGGAUGACUAAAUAGGUAGGCAACUUCAGGCUGAGUUUAUGAGAGAGUUUUAUGCUAACUAUACGAUGAUGAUUGAAAAUAUGACUUCUUUUGUGAAGGAGAAGAAUGAAAUAACAAAGCAGUCCAAACAUAACAUGGUGAUAGUGCAAGGUAAAAAGAUUGAUAUUUUAGUGAUGGCUAUUCUAAAGCCUUGUUCGAUGAUGAUUUUGAGACAUCAAAUGAGUCUCCAGAGUAUGACUACUGAAUGUAUAAUUUGAAACUAGUAAAGAUGUUGAGUACUGAUGAUAAGUUGAUGCACUGUAAGUGUUUGGUGGGUCAUAUUAUGGAAGCUAAGGAAGGACCAAAAUGUGUGAAUAGUACAACCAUUUACAAGUACACACUAAGCCUUACUUCCAAGGCUUUAUGCUCUAUUAUUAGACAUUAUAAACACCCACAAGUAAUUUUAAUACAUUGAGAGUUGCUAAGGUAGGGAUAGUGGUAGCCUUUAAGGUAGAGUUAGAGCUAAACAUUCUAUGGAUCAUUAUGGAGAACACUUGGAAGAGGGCGCUACUUUAUCACACUACUAAUUAAUUUCCCAAACUUAGUGAAUUUGCUAUAUUGGAAGUCAAAUAUUCCAUCUAUUCUAGUAGUUGAUAAAUUUAUUUGAUCGACUAUGAUCGUAGACAUUGCAUUGGUUAAGUAUAAAUUUAACCUAGUGGCUCGAUUUCAAGGUUUUUCUCUUGAUUUGCCUUCAUAGAAAACAAAAUAGGUUGGCACUACAAUAGAGAUCCCAACUUUUAAAGCCGGUGCUACUCCAUCAUACAUAUAGCAACCUAUAACUUCCUCGAGUACACUUUAGUCUAUUCGUAUAGGCUACUCAUUGAUACCCACAACAUUCAUAGAGAAGUUGAUAAAAAAAUAGGUUGUUCUUGAUGCGAGGAUUAAGAAGUUGGAGGUAGUGGUAAAGUCCUAUAUAAAAGAUGAGAUUAAGGUAGCAGUAUGAGGUAUGCUACCCCAUUUUGACAGCUCUGAGAGUUGGAUGACGACUAAGUUAAAGAGCAUCCAAGCUCAUGAUCUAAGUUCCAUCACUAAUGAGUUGGCUAUAUUAAAAAAAGUAGUGAAUAAUUUAUUUGAGAAGAAGUUCCUAAUUAUUCACCCUUCACACUACCCAUUAUAGAGUAUUUUAAUAUUGAUGUGGUGGUACUACACUUCUAUACUCGCGACCUAAAAAGGAUGGAUCAAGUUUAAUAAGAUAUAUAAGUAGGUAAAUGAGGUAAAAGAUGAUAUAUAUCCCUAUAAUAAGAGAAAGAUUAAGGAUAAAAUAGGAAGAAAAGGAGAGAGAAGAAGAUAUAGAGGACCUUAAACGUGCCGAUGUUAGAGUAGAGUGAGGUCUUUAUUGUUGUUGAUGCUAUUACUAAGAGUGAAGGAGGCACACAUAUUGUCCCCACGACUUCUUCUUUGCGUGCACUCGCCGUUACUAGUGCCAAAUUGACUAAUAUUUCCAUGGCCACUAUUGAGGUGAGCAUAAACAAGUUCCAUCUUUGACCCUAAUGGAUUAGUCCAUGACAGGCAUCUAGUGCACCACAAUUAUGUUUCUAUCAUGGUUUUACAUUAUUUUCAUAUAUUUGUGAAAUGGGGAUAUUGAAUUAUUUGGUAGUUGGGGUGGGAGUGUACC